CUGGCACAUAUUUAGUUUAUAUUCAAAUUAAUGUUUAAAUCUUAAUUACAAAUAUAUAACAAUUUAAAAAAAAAUAAAAUAAAUAACAUUUUUUUUUUUUUUUUAUUUAUUAAUUUUAAAUGAACUGUACAUUAACAUUUCUAUCAUGUUCUCAAAAUUAUAUAAAUUUAAAAUAUUUACAACAAAAAUCCAUAAAACUAAAUUCAAAAUUUAAAUGACUAAAUAUAGUAAUUAAAUAAAAAUUAUCCAUGUAAAUAUUUUCAAUACAAUGAGUUAAGAAAAAAUAAAACUAUACAUUCUAGUAAAUAGAUAAAACAAUGUGCAAUUUUAAUCAUACAUGAUACACAAAAGGUACUCAAGGCUUACAAAUUAUAAUUAAUCCUUUUAAUAUAGAUACCAUAGAAUAAUAAAACUUAAAUAUUGUAUUAAUUUUAAUUUAAAUAUUUAUUUUAAUAUCUUUCUAAAUCUACUCUCCAGUAUAUCUACUUUACAGCAUAACUUAUUUUUAAAAAUAUGAUGGGUAAUUUGUACAUGAUAAGGAUCUUUAUUAAAAUUGUCAAUUUAAACCCAUAGAAUAAAUUUUAAGUAAUCCAUUUACAUUUUUUAUUCAUAUAGUAUACAAAUAUUUAUAAUAAAUCAAGUUUUUAUUUAUUUGUCAACAGGUUCCCUUUAGUUACUUGCUAUAUUGUUUUAAAUUUAAAGAUUAUAAUCAAUAUUAAUUUAGGUGUUUUUAUAAAAGAUACAAUGUUAGUUUAAAUGCAAAUUUAUAAGAAUAAAUUACUCUUUAAGUUCAAAAGUUACAAGGUGGAAUAUAGUUUUUUCUUAAAGAUUACAAAAGAAUACAUUAUUUGAUAUUCGACCAGUGUUUUCACCCAGCACCACAAUAGAAAUCAAUUGUCAUCUCAUUUUUAGUAUCGGGUGAUCUAUUUAAGCGAGUACACUCAUUAUCUCAGAAAAUAUUAACUUUUUCCGGAAUUUGUUUUCUAGAAUAUCUAAAAAACAAGCUGCUCUACAACAGUAUAUAUUUAUGAAAUUUUUCUUCACCCUUAUUUUUGGGGGUAAAACCACUACCUACUUUUGAUUUUCAAAAAGAAACCUAUAUUAGGUCCAUAAAUAGAUGAAUUAUUAGUUAAAAUAAAUUUAAGUGUUGACAUUUUUGAUUUCUGUCAAGUCACUAGCGACAUAGUCCACUUUUAAAUUUAUUUCGGAAGAGAGUAGUGGAGUAUUUAUUAAUAAUGCACCACUAUUCUCUUAAACCCAAACUUAAAAGUGAAAUAUCUCGUCAGGAUUGAUGGAAAUCAAAAAUGCCAACAUCAACAUUUAUUUUAACUAAUACUUCAUCUAUUUAUGGAAUUUUUUAUAUAGUUUGCCAUUUGAAAGCCAAAAGUAGGUAGUGGUUACCCCUAAAAAUAAGGGGUAAAAAUAAUAAAAAAACCUACCUACUUUUGACUUUCAAAUGACAAACUAUAUAAAAAAUUCCAUAAAUAGAUGAAGUAUUAGUUAAAAUAAAUUUUGGUGUUGACAUUUUUUUGAUUUCCAUCAAUAAUAUAAUCUGACGAGAUAUUCCACUUUUAAGUUUGGGUUGAAGAGUGGUGGUGCAUUAUUAACACGCCACAAGUCAUACCACUACAUAAAUGAUACCCCACUACUCUCCAUCAAACCAAUCCUUAAAGUGGAAUAUCCCGUCAACAGAUCGAUAAAAACUAAAAAUGUCAUCACUAAAAUCUAUUUUAACUAAUAACCCAUCUAUUAAUAGACUUUUCAAUAAAAGUUACCAUUUAAAAAUAGGUAGUGGUUUUACACCCAAAAAUAAGAGCGAAGAAAAAUAAUAAUAAAAAAAAAAUCAAUCGUAGAGCAUUUUAUUCUUUAAUGUUCUAGAAAACAAAUUCCGGAAAUAGUUAAUACUUUUAGAGAUAAUGAGUGUACCUACUAAAGUGGAUCACCUGGUAUAAGUGAGAUAUUUAUAAAUUUCAUCUACGUUUUGGAUCUCACGAACACAUGGCACUCUGUACAUUGCACUUAUUAAUAGAACAUUGAAAUCUUUACUUAAUAUGCAAAAUAUCUGUUGUAACUAUAAUGCAAUGGUAUGGUCAACACGUUAAGUCCCCUUAUAUCAUUAUAAUCAUCUAGUCUAUUCUACACAAGAUUGAUUGAAGGUAUGAUUUUUCAAUGUUCACGGUAUAUAGGAGCAGUAAUAGAAAUCAAUAUAUAGAAACACGGUUUUAAUUUUAUUGGCGACUAUCAGGGAGGCUUUAGACCUGGAAGAUCAACAACGGAUCAAAUAUUUGUUCUUCGGCAGAUAUUCCAAGACUUGGGAAUUUGACAAAGAAAUCCAUAUUCUUUUGAUUGAUUUCAGGAAAGCAUAUGACAGUAUUCAUCGAAAAAGCUUAAUUAACGUUAUGAGAGAAUUUAACUUCCCACAAAAAUUGUUAAAGUUAGAAGAGAUAAGUAUUAUGGAGACAUUCAUUAAAGUCAAAGUUGGAAGUAGCGAAACGGAGUCAAUAUUAGUAGUCAGAUUUGAGACAGGGCGACUCAAUGUCACCGGUGUUAUUUAAUAUAGUGCUAGAGAAAGUUAUUAGAGCAAUGAACGUUAGACCCGACGAAGGAGUGAAACUGCAGGACUCAUCAACAGGCCUAUUAGCGUACGCGGACGAUUUAGUAUUAAUGGAAGAAUCACCAAACGCACUGAAAUCACUGUUCGACCGUCAACAAAGAAUGACAGCGAAAGUAGGACUACAGAUAAACGAAACUAAAACGGAGUAUAUGGU